AAGAGAAGACCAAACACUGAGCAGCUCUGGUGAUCCCCAAAGCCCUGUUAAAGCAGAAGUCAGUAAGAUUUAGCACAGUGGAAGGGGUGUAUCACUUUCAUUCCCACAGCCGGGUGAUCCCCGGGCCUGGCCCCGGGCCUGGCUCUGCCCUCCGAGCUCAGGCAGUGCUGAGGAUCACAUUCAGAGGGCAGGAAAGUGUUUAGAGAUGGAAUGCUCCUAUUUUCUGUUUCCUUUGGAAGCUAUAGCAUAGCACACAAUGUCUGGAGGUGUUAGAAUCAGUUGUUUCUUGCAUUUUCAGAGGACCUGAAGCCAGCAGGAACUUGGUAAGGCCUAUGGAGACCGGUGAGAGGUGUCUGGCCGUGUAACCCCUCUGUGCAAGGCUGCUGCCUGAAGCACAUCGUGUCACCUCCUCUUGGAAACCAUCCAGCUCACCCGGCUACCUGCUGCUGGCCCUAGGAGCUUAUGGAAAAUGUGUCUUCCUGGCGAGUAAAGGACAGAUUGCUUCUCAAACAGAGUGUCCAGGCAGAGAAGUAAAAGGUUUUUGUGAGGCCACUUCUGUAGAUUUCAGCACAGAAGAAGAUUAACUGCAGCACAGGAACAGAAAUGAACAGUCAGCAUUUAAAGGAAAUACAAGAACUUCUAUGCCUAACUGUCAGAGAAAAACGUCAG